CAGUAGCCGCGGGAAUACGAAGGGGGCUAGCGUUGCUCGGAUUUACUGGGCGUAAAGGGCGCGUAGGCGGACAGUUUAGUUGGGGGUGAAAGCCCGGGGCUCAACCUCGGAAUUGCCUUCAAUACUGGCUGUCUUGAGUACGGGAGAGGUGAGUGGAACUCCGAGUGUAGAGGUGAAAUUCGUAGAUAUUCGGAAGAACACCGGUGGCGAAGGCGACUCACUGGCCCGUUACUGACGCUGAGGCGCGAAAGCGUGGGGAGCAAACAGGAUUAGAUACCCCCGUAGUCCCUGUCUCUUAUAC
rnacentral:rRNA from 1 species